AUUUUGUUUAAAAAACUAAAGUUAAUUAAUUCAAGUCUAUUCAAAUAUUCAAAUAAUGUGAGUAAUAAAUAUACCUGUAAAGAAACUUUUUUUUUCAAAACUAACAAAAAUUGGUCCAUUUAUAUAAAUUUAUGCAUGUAUGUAUAUAUUAAAAGAAAAAAAAUAAUUACAAUCCAAUUUUUUUUUUUUUUUGGUUUUAUCAUAAAAUAGUUCAAAUGAAAAUAACAUCACCACCGAGUGAAUUGUAUAUAUUAAUAAUAUAAUAUCAUAAUUUUUAAAUCAUCCAUAAUUUAAUGAGUUUUUUUUUUAAAUUUUAUUAUAAUCUUCUCUAUGUUACUUUAUUUUUAUUUAUUUUUUUAAUUUUUGUUAAACAUAUUUUUAAAAAUUUGUCAUGU